AUCUUCUCUCUCAGAUUCUAAGGGUCCUCUUAACAAUUUUGGAUACAUCCAGUGAUCCACGAGCUCUUGCUGUCGCCUGCUUUGAUCUGUCACAGUUUAUCCAGUACCAUCCAGCUGGGCGGGUCAUUGUGACGGACCUCAAAGCCAAGGAACGGGUGAUGAAAUUGAUGAACCAUGAGAAUACCGAGGUUACCAAGAGCGCCUUACUCUGCAUCCAAAGGCUUUUCCUAGGCGCAAAGUACGCGAGCUUUUUGCAGGCCUGAAUUCUCUUUGCAUGGGGUCCAGUAUUGUUUACAAAGGAAAUGCUUGUAAUGAUUUGAUUCCAGUUUGGCUGUGGUUAGGUUGUUUAUUUAUUUAUCAAUCAUUGGAGGAAUUUAUGAAUCAGGGGAACUCGUCUGUUGGAUUUUUUUAAGUACUGUGAAGAAUUAGUUGAUUUUUUACCAUAUUUUGGAAAUUUAUUUUGUUUUUGAGAUGAGGAAUAAAUUGAUACCAUCUCUACUGACCUUUGAUAUGAAAACUACUCGAGCGCAUGAUGUAUAUCUGUUUUUGUUCAUUUCUGUAUCUUGCUGCUGACUGAAGCUGGAUUUUCAGGCUCGUUAUUAUCAUUUAUUCUUUUGAAGUUGCAAAAUGAAUUCUCAAUAUUUUCAGGGGAAAUGCUUAUAAUUAGCGCGGAGUUAAACAUUGAUUGUGUACUGUAGACUUCCAAAAGGCAAUUUAUUUCCAUUUAUUUGAGUAAACUAAAUCUCCGUGAUGGUAGCACUUAUUUAAUCACUUAUUAAAAAAUUCUUUGAAAAUUUGAUGAUUGUUGUUGAAAACAUUUACUAAUUGUAAAUGCGUUAAAUUACCCUUCCUUCUUCGUUUGCCGUCGUCACGAUGACCGGAAAAGGUACCCACCCCACUCCCUCUUUUGAUCAUCAUUUCGCAUACACUUUUCUUAAAUUUAAUUUUUUUUUAAAUUUUUUUCUCAUGUACCCUUGUGAUUCUUUUGCAUUCUUUAUUGGAUGUUAUUAAUUAUUAUUAAAAAAUUCUAAAAAAUAAAUAAAAAUCACGGCAGCUAGGAGUUGAAUGAAACUAUGGACUCUUUUUGAUAUUGUGGGAUUUGUGUCUGGGUGUGAGUGCACACAUUUUGAUCGGUAGCUAACUAAUGGAUGUCAUUUUUCCAUGUAUCAAUUUUCAGUUCAUAAUUUGUGUCUGAGUGUGAGUGCACAAAUUUUGAUCUGUAACUAAUUAAUGGAUAUCAUUGUUUAAAAUGUGAAAAAUUUAGUUUAUUCUAUGCUAGUUUUUCAUAACAUGAGUUGGACUGAGCUCAGUCAGUUGAUGCUCCAUGUUUUUGAUUCAUUGAAGGUACUAUGAAUUGGGACCUGAUGAUCCGCCAUAUGCUGCCAAGUUUUACGACUGCUGCGGGGCCGAGGAUGCUGAUGCCUCUGGUUGUACCACUGGCUUCCAUGUCUCUUAUGAUGAUGAUUAACAUAAUUUUUACCUCCUAAUCACCUGUAACUAUAGAUUAAAUUUGUAGAUAUCUCCGUGUCUCCUCCUGUGACCCACAUCAUUUCCACUGUUCUACCACUGUAUAAUUCAGGCCUUUCAUCAGUUUAUCUCUUCAUUUCUCAACAUUUUUCUUUUUUUUUUUUUCCUGGGGUUGAUCUGGCAUGAAUUCGACAUGUGCUGCUAUGGCCAACUUUCGAGGGAUGAUGGUAAAUCUAAACCCUUUUCCAUAAACUUCUGCAAUUAGUUGGUCUAGGGCAUUUGAAGAGCUUAUACUGGAAGCCAUUGCCUUCCCACAUCUUAAGUAAAGAGUAAUGCUACUUUGACAGAAAUAGGUUUACAAAAUUUUGACAUACUUAUGAAAUACUAAAUUACCUUUUAGUUUAUUUACAGAUAGCGAAUUGGGCUUUUUACAUAUUUUUGUAAGAAUCAACCUAAACUUAUAUUCAGGAAAGAAAUAACUGCAGAGGAGAAAAAAGUAAUGAGGCGAUAGAAAAUUAUGCCAAAAUUAAUAGUAAGGCAUUUGAGAUUGCAGUAGAACUUCUCAAUAAUCAUAUUAUUAGGAUCAAUUGAUUUUGUUACUAUAAGGAGGUUAAAACUUUGUAGAGGUUUAGUUCAAAAUUACUAUCUUGACUUCAUUAUUCUUAGUGUAAGUAAGAUAAUUAAUAAAUAAUUAAUGAAGUGUGUCAAUUCUAUGAAGCUUCAAACAUGCUUGAAUACUUAAAAAUAUUUUGUCUUCAACAAGAAGGUGUGUAUAUUAUUGAAUUAUUUUUGCAAUAUACAAAUAAUUAUUAUUAUGUGGAGGCAAUUUCAAAGAUGUGAUAACAAUUUUAAAGAAUAAAUCAUUGUCUCAAACAAUUUUAAAAAAUAUUUUUUUCUAUACUAAAUCUUUUAAAGUAACAAAUAUGUUUUGCAAUACACAUAUAAUUAUUAUUAUGUGGAGAUAAGUUACUAAAGUCAGAAUCUAAAACACUUAUUACAAUUAGAGUUAAUUCUUAUUUAUAAUUUACUUAAAUUAAAGUUAAAAUUUUUUUAUCACUAUAAAAGAGUUAUUUCUAUAUAGAUAAUCACUAUAAAUAUAGAGUAUCACUAUAAAAAAGUUUUACGAUCAAUCAUCCGUCAUAAUAAGCACAAGAAUGACAAGUUUUGAUUCUCAAAUAAAUUCUUAUAAAACACAACCAUGGAUUAAGAUUGUCGGGAAAUGGGAAUGCAAUACAAAGUAAUUAAUGACACAGUCUCAGUGUUUCACUUACACGUGAAGCAAACGAAACAAGAAGAAUCUUAAGAAAAAAACACUCACCAGAACGCAAGGUUCAAUCCCGGUUUACUACGUCAACCUCCAUUCCUCAAAGAGAUUGGAAACACGUCAACCUUCAUCUCCACCAGUAUUCACCUCCACGAAUAAGAAUUCUGCGCCCAUUUGCACUAUUUGAAUCGAGUGGAAGCUUUUUAAGCGAAUCGCAAACCCAAACUUGCAAUACUUUCAGACGUGGGAGAGGCAAGGGCUUCCAGUAAAUGCUCUUCAAACGGACCAGUCCUCCUAACUCAAGACGCUGGAGUUUUGCAAAAGGGCUGUUUAUUAUUCCCGUCAUCUCAGGAAUGUCAUCAAACUCUCCAGCACUGAUUAUUUCUUCCAUGUCAUCGCAAUAGCUUACGGAAAUAGACUUGAGGUUUGGAGCAAAAACGAGGAAUGUCAAGUGUUUCAAAUUUCUGCAAAAGCGUACGGUAACUUUCUCAAGGCUGCGGAAAACAUAAGGUUGGCGCGAUUUUUGUACCAUAUCAUUGCAGUCAAUCUUCAGUCCCUUAAUACAACCACAACUAAAAAAGUCUAAUGUAUUGAGCUGCUCUAGAUCGGCUAAAUCUGCAACAUCGAUCGACUCCUCCCUAUCGAAGCGAUGGAGCAAGAGAGCUUGAGUACAACUUCGUAACUUCUGUGAGCUCAAAAAUGUUUGGUAAGCCUCAAAACUCCUGAAGGAGAUCUCCAGUACCUCUAAAUAUUUCAAACCGAGCAAUUCCUCUGCUACAUUCUCAUGCCAAGAGCUAAGUAAAAAACCAGUAGCAAACAUUCUCAACACACGUAACCUUGAAAAAUUAGAUAACAGUUGCUGUGGAACUACAACUAACUCUUUUGCCCAGACCAAAUUCAAACAUUUAAGAUUUACCAACGCUUUUAACUCUUCGGGUAACUCUGUAACGCUUGUAUUUGAAAUAUCAAGGAGUUGUAGUGAAACCAACUUUGAGAUCCCCAUUGGUAACUGCCGUAGCGUUUCAUUAUCUGACAUCUUCAAAACUGUUAGACAAGACAUAGACUGGAAGAAGCCACCGGUGAUCGUCCUCAACGGAUUACGGUUAAGAAACAAAGUAAGAAGAUGAGGGCAUGUCGGAACAGUUGGUAGAUUAUCAAUUGAAUUUCUCAUCAAUGAUAAUCUUCUCACAAUUUCCCAUCCUCUGACAUCUGCCUCCCUUAAUCCGGAACCUGCAUAAACCAAAAAGCCCUCCUUCUCCUUCUCAAUCUCACAAGUUAUCCACAAUGCCAUAUCGCGGAUGACGUCAUGCAUUUUUACUUGAUCAUCUUCUACCUCUUCCAAUAAACAUGCAUGAACAAGAGUGCCCACGAUAUAGUAUCCUCGGUUUUGUGUGCCAAACUUGUCUUCUUCCAAAAACCCCUCGCACAUCCAGCAAUCAAUCAAGUCUCUUUUAUCUAUGCCGUAAUCUUCCGGAUAUAAACAACAAUAUAAGAAACAAGAUCUGAUUGCAUCGCUUGGCAAGCAAUCAUAGCUGAAUUUUAAAAGAGGAUAUACCUCCUUUCCCAAACCUGUAAAUUCGGAAGCUGAUCUUCUUAAAACUUCAAUCGCAUAUCUCCAUUCUUCAGGAGUCUUUUUGUAGGCCAUGGCUCGACCAAUAGUAAUAAGCGCGAGCGGCAAUCCACCGCACUCCUUUGCCACAGUUUGAGCUAGUUGAGGAAUACUAUGAUGACUCUCAAUAGUUUCUUCCCCAACUUUCUCUCGAAAUAGUUCCCAAGCAUCCUCAUCGGAUAAGCAUGCCACUUUGAACUUCGUUCGAGCUUCCAUACCGCCACAAACAUCAACGAAACGGGUUGUAAAUACUACUGCACUAUUCUUUGGAAGAGGGACACCAAUCUUCUUUAGAUCAACCCGCUCCCAUAGAUCAUCCAACAACAAAGCAAACUUCUUCUUGCUUAAAGUCUUGAAGAUGUCCUGAGCUUUCUCUUCGAGACUUUUGUCCUUCCAUGAAUCAUUAUAUAGACCUAUCUUUUUCCCGAUAGUUUCUUGAAUUUUUUCAAGCUGCAGGUCUUUUGACACCACAACCCAAAUCACAGAAUCAAAAUCUGUUGGAUUAUCAACAAAUUUAUUAUUGAUUUGGGUUAACAGUGUAGUUUUACCGACACCGCCCAUGCCGUAUAGGCCAAUUAUACCAGCUGCAGGUUCUUGUACAAGACAUCUCCAAACUUGUUCAAGUUGUGAUUGCAAGCCUACCACCGUUGGCUCAGUAGGUCUUUCAUCUGCCACAGAUAUUAAUUCUGGAUCUGGCGCGGCCACCUCUUCAAAAACUCCUUCCCCCUUUAAGGCCUUCACAUCUCGCAGCCUUUUAGCAACUUUUCUACCAAACUUGUAGCUUGACUUGCAGUUCCUGGAGCAGUAGCCUCCAAGACACAAUUUGUCAAUUUCCUGAGAGCCACCAUCUCUUCCCAUGAGUUCAUCAACUUCAGUUUUAAGAGUCUCCACCCUCGAAAGCCAAACCUGCACUUGGUUCAGCCUCUUCAUUUUGUGUUGGUGUUCAGCAUUGAGGACCCUCGUCAUCACAUCAUUCUUUGCAGCGAUUAGUUGUUCCAAUUCAGUCGUCAAGGCAACAACAUUAUCUUUGAGGUCAGUUAUAUAUGCCGCUUUGCCAAGAGCGCAGUCUGGGCAACGAUUGAACAUUGCGCCAACAUCGCAAGAGAUUUGCAAAAUGUUACCCAUAAUGGAUCUCACUUGUAUGUAUGAAUUCAACCAAGAGAGAAACAAAGGAAUUUAACUUCACCAGUUUGAUGAACAGAAGCUGCUGUCGCGGAUUAAUUGAGAUAGAACAUUAGUUAUUGAAUAAUGUAAUCAGCUCUGUUUGUACCCAACUCACUAAAAAAAGUAACAAAAAGGAACAUUAGUUAUUGAAUAAUGUCCAAUACGUAUUAGCAAAGUGGGUAAGUUAUAUUUAAUGUAACCUACGGUCAGUCUGUGAAAUUGUAUCUAGUCUCCUAUGUUCUAUGUUAUUUAUAUUUUAUUCAUAAAUAUUAUAAAUAUUUUGAAAUAUAAAAUUCCGUUUAACCCCUUAUACUCAAUUUUAUUUUAUUGAAACCCUAGAGUAUGAAUUCCCCCCAUAAUUUUAAAUUCUCAAAAUAACCUCCAUUUAAUUAAAAAAUAUAAUUAUUUUUAAAUAAAUUAUAAUUAUAAUUAUUAUUUUAUUAUAAUCAUAAAUAUUUUUUAAAAUAGAUUAUUAUUAUUAUUAUUAUUAUUAACAAGAAUAAAAAGCAUUAUAAUUAAUUAAUCUAUUAACAAUAAUUAAUAAUAUUUUUUAUUAAAUUGUUAAUAAUAAUAAUAAUUAAUGAUUAUCUAACUAAUAGGAAAUGUAUUGCUAAUGCUACCUUCGACUUUAAAUACUCAUUAUCGGGUUUCAAGAGACCAAUGAAUGACAAUUUCUGUCAAAAUUUUAAGCUUGACCCAAUAAAAAUAAUUUUACAUUUAAAAAACUAGAAGUAAGAAAAAUGUGUUUACAUCCUCGAAGGUGUAACAACUUAGCAAAAAGCACUUAAAAAUUACCGUUUAAUAAUGAGAUGCCUACGAAACUAUUAUUUAUCAAAGUAACAAAAAAUCCUGAAAGUACUUGAAAUUAAAAAGUAUAGAAAUAUAAAAGAGUCUCCUACAUAAAUAUGGACUCAAUGUUUAUUCCAUUUUAUUAUAAUCAUAAAUAUGUUAAUUAUCAAAAUUUCUGUCAAAAUUUUUGUUUCCUCCUUUCUAUCUUUCAUAUCAGCAUUAUUUUUGUCUUGAUUAUUGAAUAGUUGAAUAUGUAUGUGUGUGGGGGCAUAUAAUAUAUAGUACUUAGAUUUUGUUUAAUUUUCUAUUGUUAACUUGAUUAUUUGUGGCAUUAAUUUAAUAUGAUUUACAUCUUUUUGGUUGUAGUAUUGAUGAGGUUCCUUUAUAUGAUGACCCAAUUUUUUUUUUUUUUUUUUGGUCUUCAUUUGUUUAAUUAUGAGAAAAAUAAAAUAGUAAUAAGAUUGGUCAAUUUGGGUAAACAAUUAAUGAACUAAUGUAGUAUAUCUCAUCUCACUCCCCUAGCAUAUCAUAAAUUUCCAAAAUUUGUCUUCAAUCGAUUAAACAUAAAUUUCAAAAUUCUUUAAAAAAAAAAAAGCCAAUACCGAUCCUUUAAAGUUUAAAACAUCCAAAAAGGAAAAAAAAAAAAAAAUCAUCUAUUAGCAUAUGGUAAAAGCAUAAUUCGACUAAAGUUGGGACAUGGCAUGUGGUAGACAUGUGGAUUGAUUGCUUGUGUUAUUGAAUCGUUGUAUCAUCGACUUCGCAUUAUUAAUAAGCUUUUUAACUUUUAUGAUUUUAUAAUAAACAGUAGGGGUUUAAGUGUUAAUAACCAAUUGAACACAUUUCAACGGUUGAACACUUUAACCCUCGUAUCAAAUGGCUGAACCAGAAAAUGACAAAGUUUGGGGUACCGUGCAACUGUUGCACGGUAGGCGGACCCUAUUGAAUAAUGUAAUCAAGUCAUGGGUAGACGGAUGAAUCCUAUAAAUCUAUAGGCGGACCCUAUAGAUUGAUUAGUCAAGUAAGGGAAAUGGGUCCGUAACUUUCAAGCAAGACUUGACGUCCUGUCCCUUGCCUCCUCACCAUACCAUUAAAGUUUUGAAGUUAGGCCAAUUAGAUUAAAGGUGAGAUGGAAUGGAUUUAUGGAGUCGUUGAUUACUGAACGUAUUUGCCAAUCUAUUGGACGUAUUAAAGUUCUUUCCCUUUCAACAUUAUUGAACGUAUUUUGCAGGGAAACCUCCUCUAUCUUUCUUCCCAUUAACGUCCAAUUAAGACUUUUGUGUAUCCAAUUAAUGUCCAUUAACUUGAAGAUUGAAGAGGGCCAGCGUUAUUUCAAAGUCAAGAUUGGCUUAUUAGCUUGCAGAAUUCUUGAUAUGAGUUAAAAAAAUAAAUAAAUAAGGUUGAAAAGGAUUAGGAUUAGCUUAGUUUUUAUUGAUCAUUGAAUUAAUGGUUAGGAUUUAUUUUAUAUUUUACUUUUUUCAUCUAAUUACCAAUCUAGUGGUCAGCACUGAAUUGAAUACUUGUCUAAUUGAAAGGUAAUGGGUAAAAGGUUUUUAAAACUUUAAAUAUUUUUGUGAAUUUUUGAGCAGCAGCCAAAUUCCAAGAUUCUCAACAAUUUUUGAGCCAAUCCCAAAGGAGAUUUAGUUUACUAUACACAUGCCACUUCUUAAUAAUUAAGAUCUACAUAAAUGACUUUUAAUUUUGUAUGAUGAUCUCUUCCUCUUUGGAACAGAUACUCAAAUUUUAUUCAUCGUGACUGUGUUGAUCAAAACCGAUAUUAAUCAAUCUUGUAUUCAAGUACACUCAACCAAUUCUGUUUUCUUACAGAAUUGUUCAGAAAUAAAGAACUGUAAUUACCUCCAAAAUCAAACAAAUAAUAACCAAUAUGUUAUAUUUUUUAAUUGGUUUUUUUCCCCUUCAAAUAAUGGAGUCCAUAGUGCAGUUUUGACUGGCACAUGUACUAAGAUAUGAAAGUUAAUGUACAAAAUGGAAGAAUAAUAAAAUCAUGUCCGAAAUUAUUAAUUCUCAGGUGCAACCUAAAUUUAGAUGUAUCUUAAUUCUUAAAAGGAGAAAAAAAAAAAGAGUCAAUCAUUGUUAGAGCUUCAAGAGCUUUGAGAUCUUAUUGGUUUAUUUUAUUAUUAGUAUUUGGCGUUUUUCGCUUUCAGGAUAGUCGCAACAAAUAGAUUCUUGAAAGAGCGGUGCUAUUGGCACCUUCUUAAAACUCAAUUGAAACCCCAUUUUCAUGUUUAUAGCUUUAUUCUUAGUUAAAAUUACACAAAAGGACAAAAGAAAUUUAAUUAAAAUUUAAUUUUCUUUUCUUUUUGUUACUAAUUCUUCAAACCCAAUAAAUUACUUUAUUGGGAUUUUUGUUAUUUUUGCCUUUAAUUUCUUUUUUUUUUGUAAGUAAAAUAAGUGCCCACUUGGUGAAGAAAAUCCAAUAAUUUGAUAAAAAUCUAAUAAAUUUCUUGGACCUUUUUUUCUUAAUUAUUUCCAAAAUCAUUUUGGAACUAAAAAAAAUUGAAUCCCAUAUACAUUAGAUACUGAAAAUAAAGAGUUUAUGAUGUGUGGGUAUGAACUGCGAAGAGUUAAAAAGAAAAUACGUACAUGGAUUGGGGUUUAAUAAUUUUGUAUUUGUAGUUUUAUGUAAUUUUCUCUGGUGAAAGAGCUGUUAAUGAAAACGGGGUUUCAUAAGAAUAACGAGGGGGUGCCAAUAGUAUUACUCUUCUUGAAAAUCAUAUGAGAAAGACAAAUAGCCCAAAAACAAAGUGCCUGUAUCUUUAAAUUUAUUAUAGAGUAGUAAUUUUUAUUUUUUUUUUAAAAAUUGCUCUACCUUUUUUUUUUCAAAACCUUAACUAAAAUAUUAAAAUUGUGAAAAUUAGGAAUCUGGUCAGGAUGAUAUUCUGAGUCCCAUUUUCAUUUUCAUUUAUUGAAAAUAAGUUGAACAACUGUUCGGUAUAAUGUUCUAAUAAAAUGAAUUAUGAAAUAAAAAAUACAGAUUUUACUUUUGUUUACUCAAAAAGUUGAAGAACGACAUUUUUAUGGUUUUAUUGAAUUUCAAGAAUGGAAGCCAUUCUCUCAUCUUUAUCUUAUAUUAGCGUCCAUGGUAAUUAAAAUGGUUUUUGUAUCAAAUUGAUAAGAUUGAAACAUCUAAUGCUACAAUGGCUUUUGUGAUUAUUUUAAAUUUGAAGUUAAAAUUUGAUAAAACUAAUAAGUUUUAUUGAGCAGAAGAUGAGUGGAAGGACUUUUUCUAUGAUAUUUAGCCGAACAAAAAGAUAAAAUAAAAUGUUCAAGGACUUUAAAAAAAUGUCGUCAUAUUUUGCUUGUACCAAUGAAACAGUAGUUGUGAAAAAGGAUUAAAAUAAUAUUUUCAAAUGAGAUUUUUCUCUAUACCUUAUCAUACCUUUUAUUUGAAUAUCUUUCUUCGUAUAUAAAUUUAUGAUUACAUUUAUCAGAUGCUCUAUAAUAUAUUUCAUUUACUGAAAAUUUUUAUUAUUAAAUGUAAUGAACAAUUUAAUCUUUUUAUAAGUGUUUACUGUGUGAUACCAAAAAAUAAAUAAACUCUAAAUAAUCCAUUGACAUAAAUAUAAACUAUAUGUUUAAGUUAAAAAAAAAAGUUUCAAUCCAAUGCUACCGAACAAGUAUUACAGUUUUUUUAUUUAAAAUAUAAGUUUCAAAAACUCAUACUGAACACAUACUUAUAUUUAGAAUACUAGUUUCAAAAACAUCAUUUUUAUUUUUGUUUUUGUUCUAUAAAAACAUCAAUUGACAAUAAUAAAGACAAAGAAUUGAAAAUUUUAAUAAGAAUUAAUCUAACUACUCUCUUUAAAAGGAAAAAAAAAAGAAAAAAGAAAAAAGAAAAUAUCUAACUACACUCACUUUCUAAAAAUAUUAAUACAUAUAAUUACACUAAAACCCCUAUACAUUUUUAUUUUACCAAAUAAUUAUGUGAUUAAUAUUUAUUUAUAAAAUAUAACAAUUAUGUGAUUAAUAUAAUAUUAAUUUUAUAAUCUCAACUCAAUGGUCAUAUCAAGAGCAUAUUUAAUUAUUUUAUUUUUAAUCUACAAUUGAGAUGUCACACCAUGGAGUUAAAGCGGUUGUUAUCAUUUUGUUUUCUGAUUUAAUUUCUAUUUUAAAAAUAAUUUGAGACCCCGUGAGCAUUCAACGAAUGAUUUGCGAGUUUGGAGGAGUCCAUGCAUAUGGGGCCCACUGGUCGUUUGAUGAUUGAUUAUGUCACAUGAUUCCUGCCACAUACGAUUAUUAUCCACCCUUUAUCUCUUUUUUUUUUUUCUUUAAUAAAUAACCCUCUUUACUCAUUUCACUUCCAAAUUCAUGUUCAUGCCCUUACACUAUUGAUUUAUCUAUUUUUUAUUUUACAUUUUUUUUUACUCUUCCUCAUGUUAUUGUCCCUUUCUUUUUCCUUAGCAGUAAUGUUCCCAAAUUUAAUCGAGAAACAAAGAUAUAAAUGAUAGAACUUAUUAGUUUGAUAAUUUAUAAACUCGCAAUAGAUGAUACUCAUUUUCAUUCCUAGAUAAAUGCAAUACGGCCGUGUAUAAAAUACGUCGAGAUUUGGGAAAAACGUGGCCCUAAGGCCUUUUUAGUAAGAUUAGGGAUUUCACUGAAAUUUAAUUCCUUUAAAAUGUGAAGUUUACGUUUUGCACCCUUUGAAUUUACAGUUUCUUAUUUAUGGCAUCUCAAUUUGGCUUCUCUCGAAUAUGGUCCACGUUAAACCAAAAUUAUAAUUGCACCACUAAAUAUGACAGUACUGGAAAACUAUUUGAAGUGGAAAGUUAGUGAGUUUCUAUUUUUUUUUAAGGAUAUAUUUUAAGUAUUAUAUAGAUAAAAAUUAACUAUCUACCUAAGUAACCAAGCGAGCAAUUUAAACUUUAGACCUCUUUUACAUCAACGGAUUAUGUUUGGCAGACUCAAUUUGUCAAUAACUAGAUAUAUGUUACGACAGACUCAAUUUGGGGCAGAUUCUAAGGUAAGGAAAUUGAAAAUGCCUAUUUUCGAAGGUGAGGAUGCCUAUGGAUGGGUGUAUAGGGUAGAGCGCUAUUUCGCCAUCAAUGGACUCUAAGAAAGGGAAAAAUUGAUGGCGGCGGCGUUAUGUUUGGAGGGAAAGGCCCUUGCGCAGUUUCAAUGGUGAGAACAACGAAAACCGUUGAGGUCAUGGGAUGAGUCUAAAGAUCGGCUAUUGGAGAGGUUUCAGGGCACUCAAGAGGGAGAUUUGCAUGAACAAUUUUUUACUUUGACCCAGGAUAGAAUGGUUAUGGAGUAUAAGGAGAAGUUUGAGUUACUAUUAGGGCGUUUAUGGGGAAUUCCAGAGGCGGUAUUGGAAGGAAAUUUUAUGAAGGGACUGAAGCCAGAAAUCCGAGCCUCGCUACGCUUGCUAAGGUCGAGAGGGUUAGGGGAGUCAAUGGAGUUGGCACAAUUGGUUGAGGAUAAGAGCACGAUAGAACGGGUUAAUAGGAGCAAUUCAGUCAAUUUUUCAUACCAAAACAACACGCCAUUGGUAGGACAGAAAACCCAGACUUUGGGGUUCCAGCGAGAGUUCCAAAGUACACCACUAGGAGGCCAGAAAAUGCAAAUGGUGGAUUUAUAGAGAGAUUCCCAAAGGGAUUGGGAUAGUGGGGCACGACUGGGGGUGACUUUCGAACGCCUCAUGGAGACAGAGAUUCAGGAUAAGAGGGCGAAGGGGUUGUGCUUUCGAUGUGAUGAGAAAUUUUCACCAGGGCAUCGAUGUAAGGAUAAAUCACUACAAGUCCUGACUGUGUGUGAUGAGGAAGAAGGCUAGAAAGAAGCUGAAGAAGAAGACGCAGUAAUUUCCUAGAUUUCACCUUGAGGACAAUGUGUCUUUUUGGGAGGAGAGUAAUGUUUGACCAAUGAAAAUUUAAAUGCAAUUAUAAAGAGGCAAGGGCACUUUAGUAAUCUUAGAGACGGAGACAGUUUAAUAAUUUUAUUAUUAAUUAGGGUUUAAAUAUAAAUAAAAAAUUAUGGAGUCACUUAGAAUUUAUUAGUGUUGUUUUGGUGCAUAAUUGAUUUUGAUACCAUUACGCCCUAUUAUUCCUUUGUUCAGCACGGAGUAAUUUUGUUUUCAUCCACACUUUGAUUGAAGCUCUGCCGGCGAAAGUGCUGACUACUAUUGCACGGACCUACGCUAUCUUUGACAACUUAAGACAUUUAUCCUAGGACAAUGUGACCUAUAGUGGCUGACAAAUGCCUGCUUUAUUUAAUUCUCAAGCACCUGUCAUCUGAGCAAUGUUAAAUCAAUUAAUUGUGCCUUUUUUAUUACCACAUAUCUUCUUUGGCCUUGAACCAUUCAUUUUUGCCAAGGGUUGACUCUUUUUCCUCAUGGUGAGCUGAAGCUGUAUACUGCUUUUGUGGAAUCUUGGCAUCCAACACUAAAUUAAGAUUUCAGCCUUCAAACUUAUAAUGCAAGAUAUUAGAUAGUGUUUGGGUGGCUCCUGAAUAGUGCCAAAAAGAAUGAGUCUUGGCCACCAUUGCUGAAUUUUGUUUAACCUUUAACACAAUGAUGACUUCAUCUUGCUACAUUUACAUAUAACAGAUUUCAUUAUCUUCUUAGGAUUUACUGGAGGGUCUGAAUCAACUGGAAGAAGGUUUGAAGGAUAAUACUAAGAGAUUGAGUUCUUUCGACAAGUACAUGCAAGAAGUCCUCCUUGGCCAUCUCGACUGGUCCCCCAUGCACAAAGAUUCCCUAUUCUGGGGUGAUAAUAUCACAAACUUUGAAGAAAAUGAUUUCCAGGUAUUUCUUUUCCCCAUGGACGGUGUUUCUAGUUUUUAUUUUUCAUUUUUUCUGCUUUAACCGCACUGAAUGACCCUGCUAAUAUCUGUAUCGUCUCGUUCAGCAUCAUUUUGUAUAAAUACCUACAAAGUUUCUGUAAUACUAAUGGAUAAUCUUCUCUCUCAGAUUCUAAGGGUCCUCUUAACAAUUUUGGAUACAUCCAGUGAUCCACGAGCUCUUGCUGUCGCUUGCUUUGAUCUCUCACAGUUUAUCCAGUACCAUCCAGCUGGGCGGGUCAUUGUGACAGACCUCAAAGCCAAGGAACGGGUGAUGAAAUUGAUGAACCAUGAGAAUACCGAGGUUACCAAGAGCGCCUUACUCUGCAUCCAAAGGCUUUUCCUAGGCGCAAAGUACGCGAGCUUUUUGCAGGCCUGAAUUCUCUUUCUAUGGGGUCCAGUAUUGUUUACAAAGGAAAUGCUUGUAAUGAUUUGAUUCCAGUUUGGCUGGUUAGGUUGUUUAUUUAUUUAUCAAUCAUUGGAGGAAUUUAUGAAUCAGGGGAACUCGUCUGUUGGAUUUUUUUAAGUACUGUGAAGAAUUAGUUGAUUUUUUACCAUAUUUUGGAAAUUUAUUUUGUUUGUGAGAUGAGGAAUAAAUUGAUACCAUCUGUACUGACCUUUGAUAUGAAAACUACUCGAGCGCAUGACAUAUAUCUGUUUUUGUUCAUUUCUGUAUCUUGCUGCUGACUGAAGCUGGAUUUUCAGGCUCGUUAUUAUCAUCUAUUCUUUUGAAGUUGCAAAAUGAAUUCUCAAUAUUUUCAGGGGAAAUGCUUAUAAUUAGCGCGGAAUUAAACAUUGAUUGUGUACUGUAUACUUCCAAAAGGCAAUUUAUUUCCAUUGAUUUGAGUAAACUAAAUCUCCGUGAUGGUAGCACUUUUUUAAUCACUUAUUAAAGAAUUCUUUGAAAAUUUGAUGAUUGUUGUUGAAAACAUUUACUAAUUGUAAAUGCGUUAAAAAUUAUUUGAUUCAUUUAGUAUCACUAAUAGUGAUUUAAUUUUUCAUCUUGAUUGAACGAUGAAUUUUGUAUUAAUCCGGAAAAGUGCUACUGUUACUCCAACCACGCGUCGCUUAAAGGUUCAUGUAAUUUGAGACGACUUGUCGUCUAUGUUUUAUUCCGGACCGGUUCACGCAAACUUUAAAGCUUUCGAGUACUCGCGGAGCGGCGAUCGCUAAUCCCUCAAAAGAAGACACACAAGGAAUGGAGACUGAGAAAGUAAAGGAGAAGGAGAAGGAGAAAGUGUGCAAGAGGUGUAAGCAAACGUACACAGCUUCAUCAAACAGCUCUUCUUCUUGCCGCUUUCACCCUUCCUUCUUCGUUUGCCGUCGUCACGACGACCAGAAAAGGUACCCACCCCACUCCCUCUUUUGAUCAUCAUUUCGCAUACACUUUUCUUCAAUUUAUUUUUUUUUAAUUUUUUUCUCAUGUACCCUUGUGAUUCUUUUGCAUUCUUUAUUGGAUGUUAUUAAUUAUUAUUAAAAAAAUUCUAAAAAAUAAAUAAAAUUCACGGCAGCUAGGAGUUGAAUGAAACUCUGAGGCCAGUCCAGUUUGGUAGGAUUCUUUGAUUUACAAAGCAUCGAGUAAUCAGAUUUGCUGGGCAUUCAUUUUGCUUUGUUAUUUUUCCAUGUAUCAAUUUUCAGUUCAUAAUUUGUGUCUGAGUGUGAGUGCACAAAUUUUGAUCUGUAACUAAUUAAUGGAUAUCAUUGUUUAAAAUGUGAAAAAUUUAGUUUAUUCUAUGCUAGUUUUUCAUAACAUGAGUUGGACUGAGCUCAGUCAGUUGAUGCUCCAUGUUUUUGAUUCAUUGAAGGUACUAUGAAUUGGGACCUGAUGAUCCGCCAUAUGCUGCCAAGUUUUACGACUGCUGCGGGGCCGAGGAUGCUGAUGCCUCUGGUUGUACCACUGGCUUCCAUGUCUCUUAUGAUGAUGAUUAACAUAAUUUUUACCUCCUAAUCACCUGUAACUAUAGAUUAAAUUUGUAGAUAUCUCCGUGUCUCCUCCUGUGACCCACAUCAUUUCCACUGUUCUACCACUGUAUAAUUCAGGCCUUUCAUCAGUUUAUCUCUUCAUUUCUCAACAUUUUUCUUUUUUUUUUUUUCCUGGGGUUGAUCUGGCAUGAAUUCGACAUGUGCUGCUAUGGCCAACUUUCGAGGGAUGAUGGUAAAUCUAAACCCUUUUCCAUAAACUUCUGCAAUUAGUUGGUCUAGGGCAUUUGAAGAGCUUAUACUGGAAGCCAUUGCCUUCCCACAUCUUAAGUAAAGAGUAAUGCUACUUUGACAGAAAUAGGUUUACAAAAUUUUGACAUACUUAUGAAAUACUAAAUUACCUUUUAGUUUAUUUACAGAUAGCGAAUUGGGCUUUUUACAUAUUUUUGUAAGAAUCAACCUAAACUUAUAUUCAGGAAAGAAAUAACUGCAGAGGAGAAAAAAGUAAUGAGGCGAUAGAAAAUUAUGCCAAAAUUAAUAGUAAGGCAUUUGAGAUUGCAGUAGAACUUCUCAAUAAUCAUAUUAUUAGGAUCAAUUGAUUUUGUUACUAUAAGGAGGUUAAAACUUUGUAGAGGUUUAGUUCAAAAUUACUAUCUUGACUUCAUUAUUCUUAGUGUAAGUAAGAUAAUUAAUAAAUAAUUAAUGAAGUGUGUCAAUUCUAUGAAGCUUCAAACAUGCUUGAAUACUUAAAAAUAUUUUGUCUUCAACAAGAAGGUGUGUAUAUUAUUGAAUUAUUUUUGCAAUAUACAAAUAAUUAUUAUUAUGUGGAGGCAAUUUCAAAGAUGUGAUAACAAUUUUAAAGAAUAAAUCAUUGUCUCAAACAAUUUUAAAAAAUAUUUUUUUCUAUACUAAAUCUUUUAAAGUAACAAAUAUGUUUUGCAAUACACAUAUAAUUAUUAUUAUGUGGAGAUAAGUUACUAAAGUCAGAAUCUAAAACACUUAUUACAAUUAGAGUUAAUUCUUAUUUAUAAUUUACUUAAAUUAAAGUUAAAAUUUUUUUAUCACUAUAAAAGAGUUAUUUCUAUAUAGAUAAUCACUAUAAAUAUAGAGUAUCACUAUAAAAAAGUUUUACGAUCAAUCAUCCGUCAUAAUAAGCACAAGAAUGACAAGUUUUGAGUCUCAAAUAAAUUCUUAUAAAACACAACCAUGGAUUAAGAUUGUCGGGAAAUGGGAAUGCAAUACAAAGUAAUUAAUGACACAGUCACAGUGUUUCACUUACACGUGAAGCAAACGAAACAAGAAGAAUCUUAAGAAAAAAACACUCACCGGAACGCAAGGUUCAAUCCCGGUUUACUACGUCAACCUCCGUUGGAAACAGAGACGAAAAGCAUUUUGAGUGGCUUCAUCCUCCCAUUGAAGCCUUCUCCACCAGUAUUCACCUCCACGAAUAAGAAUUCUGCGCCCAUUUGCACUAUUUGAAUCGAGUGGAAGCUUUUUAAGCGAAUCGCAAACCCAAACUUGCAAUACUUUCAGACGUGGGAGAGGCAAGGGCUUCCAGUAAAUGCUCUUCAAACGGACCAGUCCUCCUAACUCAAGACGCUGGAGUUUUGCAAAAGGGCUGUUUAUUAUUCCCGUCAUCUCAGGAAUGUCAUCAAACUCUCCAGCACUGAUUAUUUCUUCCAUGUCAUCGCAAUAGCUUACGGAAAUAGACUUGAGGUUUGGAGCAAAAACGAGGAAUGUCAAGUGUUUCAAAUUUCUGCAAAAGCGUACGGUAACUUUCUCAAGGCUGCGGAAAACAUAAGGUUGGCGCGAUUUUUGUACCAUAUCAUUGCAGUCAAUCUUCAGUCCCUUAAUACAACCACAACUAAAAAAGUCUAAUGUAUUGAGCUGCUCUAGAUCGGCUAAAUCUGCAACAUCGAUCGACUCCUCCCUAUCGAAGCGAUGGAGCAAGAGAGCUUGAGUACAACUUCGUAACUUCUGUGAGCUCAAAAAUGUUUGGUAAGCCUCAAAACUCCUGAAGGAGAUCUCCAGUACCUCUAAAUAUUUCAAACCGAGCAAUUCCUCUGCUACAUUCUCAUGCCAAGAGCUAAGUAAAAAACCAGUAGCAAACAUUCUCAACACACGUAACCUUGAAAAAUUAGAUAACAGUUGCUGUGGAACUACAACUAACUCUUUUGCCCAGACCAAAUUCAAACAUUUAAGAUUUACCAACGCUUUUAACUCUUCGGGUAACUCUGUAACGCUUGUAUUUGAAAUAUCAAGGAGUUGUAGUGAAACCAACUUUGAGAUCCCCAUUGGUAACUGCCGUAGCGUUUCAUUAUCUGACAUCUUCAAAACUGUUAGACAAGACAUAGACUGGAAGAAGCCACCGGUGAUCGUCCUCAACGGAUUACGGUUAAGAAACAAAGUAAGAAGAUGAGGGCAUGUCGGAACAGUUGGUAGAUUAUCAAUUGAAUUUCUCAUCAAUGAUAAUCUUCUCACAAUUUCCCAUCCUCUGACAUCUGCCUCCCUUAAUCCGGAACCUGCAUAAACCAAAAAGCCCUCCUUCUCCUUCUCAAUCUCACAAGUUAUCCACAAUGCCAUAUCGCGGACGACGUCAUGCAUUUUUACUUGAUCAUCUUCUACCUCUUCCAAUAAACAUGCAUGAACAAGAGUGCCCACGAUAUAGUAUCCUCGGUUUUGUGUGCCAAACUUGUCUUCUUCCAAAAACCCCUCGCACAUCCAGCAAUCAAUCAAGUCUCUUUUAUCUAUGCCGUAAUCUUCCGGAUAUAAACAACAAUAUAAGAAACAAGAUCUGAUUGCAUCGCUUGGCAAGCAAUCAUAGCUGAAUUUUAAAAGAGGAUAUACCUCCUUUCCCAAACCUGCAAAUUCGGAAGCUGAUCUUCUUAAAACUUCAAUCGCAUAUCUCCAUUCUUCAGGAGUCUUUUUGUAGGCCAUGGCUCGACCAAUAGUAAUAAGCGCGAGCGGCAACCCACCGCACUCCUUUGCCACAGUUUGAGCUAGUUCAGGAAUACUAUGAUGACUCUCAAUAGUUUCUUCCCCAACUUUCUCUCGAAAUAGCUCCCAAGCAUCCUCAUCGGAUAAGCAUGCCACUUUGAACUUCCUUCGAGCUUCCAUACCGCCACAAACAUCAACGAAACGGGUUGUAAAUACUACUGCACUAUUCUUUGGAAGAGGGACACCAAUCUUCUUUAGAUCAACCCGCUCCCAUAGAUCAUCCAACAACAAAGCAAACUUCUUCUUGCUUAAAGUCUUGAAGAUGUCCUGAGCUUUCUCUUCGAGACUUUUGUCCUUCCAUGAAUCAGUAUAUAGACCUAUCUUUUUCCCGAUAGUUUCUUGAAUUUUUUCAAGCCGAAGGUCUUUGGACACCACAACCCAAAUCACAUAAUCAAAAUCUGUUGGAUUAUCAACAAAUUUAUUAUUGAUUUGGGUUAACAGUGUAGUUUUACCGACACCGCCCAUGCCGUAUAGGCCAAUUAUACCAGCUGCAGGUUCUUGUACAAGACAUCUCCAAACUUGUUCAAGUUGUGAUUGCAAGCCUACCACCGUUGGCUCAGUAGGUCUUUCAUCUGCCGCAGAUAUUAAUUCUGGAUCUGGCGCGGCCACCUCUUCAAAAACUCCUUCGCCCUUUAAGGCCUUCACAUCUCGCAGCCUUUUAACAACUUUUCUACCAAACUUGUAGCUUGACUUGCAGUUCCUGGAGCAGUAGCCUCCAAGACACAAUUUGUCAAUUUCCUGAGAGCCACCAUCUCUUCCCAUGAGUUCAUCAACUUCAGUUUUAAGAGUCUCCACCCUCGAAAGCCAAACCUGCACUUGGUUCAGCCUCUUCAUUUUGUGUUGGUGUUCGGCAUUGAGGACCCUCGUCAUCACAUCGUUCUUUGCAGCCAUUAGUUGUUCCAAUUCAGUCGUCAAGGCAACAACAUUAUCUUUGAGGUCAGUUAUAUAUGCAGCUUUGCCAAGAGCGCAGUCUGGGCAACGAUUGAACAUUGCGCCAACAUCGCAAGAGAUUUGCAAAAUGUUACCCAUAAUGGAUCUCACUUGUAUGUAUGAAUUCAACCAAGAGAGAAACAAAGGAAUUUAACUUCACCAGUUUGAUGAACAGAAGCUGCUGUCGCGGAUUAAUUGAGAAUUUGAGAUAGAACAUUAGUUAUUGAAUAAUGUAAUCGGCUCUGUUUGUACCCAACUUACUAAAAAAGUAACAAAAAGGAAAAUUUUGAAAGGUGGAAUGCAGCUGGCAAAGGAAAAAUCAAAGGGCAUGCUUCCCACGUCAAGAUGGUGGUGGUGGUCACCAUCUUUGUGUUUCCUUGACCUUAUCCAAUAUUCAUCAUUUUUGGUCCCACACCAUGUGCUUGACAGUUGUUUCGAUUUUAUCUCUUUUUAUUCCCCCUUUCUUUGUUUCUUUCUUUCUUUCUUUCUUUCAGAUCAGCAUUUUUGUCUUGGUGUGGGCAUAUAAUAUAUAGUACUUAGAUUUUGUUUAAUUUUCUAUUGUUAACUUGAUUAUUUGUGGCAUUAAUUUAAUAUGAUUUACAUCUUUUUGGUUGUAGUGUUGAUGAGGUUCCUUUAUAUGAUGACCCAAUUUUUAUUUUUUUUUGGUCUUCAUUUGUUUAAUUAUGAGAAAAAUAAAAUAGUAAUUAGAUUGGUCAAUUCGGGUAAACAAUUACUGAACUAAUGGAGUAUAUCUCAAUCUCACUCCCCUAGCAUAUCAUAAAUUUCUAAAAUUUGUCUUCAAUCGAUUAAACAUAAAUUUCAAAAUUCUUUAAAAAAAAAUUCGCCAGUACCAAUCCUUUAAAACAUCCAAAAGGGAAACAAAAAAAAAAAAAAAAAACAAACUCAUUUAUGGGCAUAUGGUAAAAGCAUAGUUUGAUUAAAGCUGGGACAUGACAUGUGGUAGACAUGUGGAUCGAUUGCAUAUGUUAUUUGAGUCGUUGUAUCAUCGGCUUCACAUUAUUAAUAAGUUUUUUUCCCCAAAUUCUUCUAAGAAUUAUGCGUAUAUUUUUUAGCAUAAUUGUUGGCUGAUCAGAAACUCUCGAAAGCUGGCCUAUAAUUUAGAUUAAACCAACAAUUAACAUGAGAAGUUAGGCUGGCAGGACAAUGGGAACCAACUCAAAUCUGGUUCCAUUAGCAAGCAGCAGCCAAAUUCCGAGAUUUUCAACAAUUUUGAACCAAUCCCAAAGGGAGAUUUAGUUGAGUAUACAAGAUUUCUCUUUGUCACUAGCCGUGCAUGCCGCUUCUUAAUAAUUAAGAUCUACAUAAAUGACUUUUAAUUUUGUAUGAUGAUCUCUUCCUCUUUGGAACAGAUACUCAAAUUUUAUUCAUCGUGACUGUGCUGAUCAAAACCGAUAUUAACCAAUCUUGUAUUCAAGUACACUCAACCAAUUCUGUUUUCUUACUGAAUUGUUUAUAAAUAAAGAACUAUAAUUACCUCCAAAAGCAAACAAAUAAUAAUCAAUAUGUUAUAUUUUUUUCAUUGAUUUUUUCCCCUUUAAAUAAUGGAGUCCAUAGUGUAGUUCUGACUGGCACAUGUACUGAGAUAUGAAAGUUAAUGUACAAAAUGGAAGAAUAAUAAUAUUCUGUCCGAAAUUAUUAAUUCUCAGGUGCAACCUAAAUUUAGAUGUAUCGUUAAAGGAGUAAAAAAAAAAAAAAGAGUCAAUCAUUGAUAGAGCUUCAAGAACUUUGAGAUUUUAUUAGUUUAUUUUAUUAAGAAAAUUAUCAUUUGUAUACCCUUAGUUUAUUUCAUUAUAAAAAAUACUACAAUACUUUGAGGGUGUAUCAAUCGUCCACCCAAAAUUGAUAAAAUGUAUCAACUGACUACCAAAUCGUUAGUUGCCGUUUAAAUAUGAUGACACUAGGAGGGCAAUUUGGUCUUUUCAUAUGAUACAAGUGAUAAUUUAAGGGUAUACAAGUGACAAAAAGAGAAAUUAAGGGUAUACAAGUGAUAAUUUUUAAGGGUAAAAUCAUCAAUUCACUGUAAUUCUGUUAACUUUCAAACGACAACUAAUGGUUUGGUGGUCGGCUGAUACAUUUUGUCAACUAAGGGUAGACGAUUGAUACACCCUCAAAGUGUUGUAGUAUUUUUAAUAAUAGAAUAAAUAUAGGGUAUACGAAUGAUAAUUUCCCAUUUUAUUAUUAGUAUUUGGCUUUUUUCGCUUGCACGAUAGUCGCAACAAAUAGAUUCUUGAAAAUCAUAUGAGAAAGACAAGCAGCCCAAAAAUAAAGUGCCUAUAUCUUUAAAUUUAUUAAUUUUUAUUUUUUAAAAAAAAAUUGCUCUACCUUUUUUUUUUCAAAACCUUAACUAAAAUACUAAAAUUGCAAAAAUUAGGGACCUGUUCAGGAUGAUAUUUUGAGUCCCAUUUUCAUUUUCAUUUACUAAAAAUAAGUUGAACAACUGUUCAGUGUAAUGUUUUAAUAAAAUGAAUUAUGAAAUAAAAAAUACAUAUUUUACUUUUGUUUACUCAAAAAGUUGAAGAACGACCUUUUUAUGGUUUUGUUGAAUUUCAAGAAUGGAAGUCAUUCUCUCAUCUUUAUCUUAGUUUAGCGUCCAUGGUAAUUAAAGUGAUUUUUGUAUCAAAUUGAUAAGAUUGAAACAUCCAAUGCUGCAAUGGCUUUUGUGAUUAUUUUAAAUUUGAAAUUAAAAUUUGAUAAAACUAAUAAGUUUUAUUGAGCAGAAGAUGAGUGGAAGGACUUUUUCUUUGAUUUUUAGCCGAACAAAAAGAUAAAAUAAAAUGUUCAAGGACUUAUAAAAAAAAAAAAAAAAGUCCUCAUAUUUUGCUUGUACCAAUGAAACAGUAGUUGUGAAAAAGGAUUAAAAUAAUUAAAAUAAUUUUUUCAAAUGAGAUUUUUCUCUAUACUUUAUCAUACCUUUUAUUUGAAAAUCUUUUUUCGUAAAUAAGUUUAUGAUUUCAUUUAUCAGAUGCUCUAUAAUAUAUUUUAUUUACCGAAAUUUUUUAUUAUUAAAUGUAAUGAAGAAUUUAAUUUUUUUAUAAGUGUUUACUGUGUGAUACCAAAAAAUAAAUUGACUCUAUAUAAUUCAUUGACAUAAAUAUAAACUAUAUGUUUAAGGUAAAAAAAAAGUUUCAAUCCAAUGCUAUCGAACAAAUAUUACAGUUUUUAUAUUUAAAAUAUAAGUUUCAAAAACUCAUACCGAACACAUACUUAUAGUCUUAUAUUUAGAAUACUGGUUUCAAAAACAUCAUUUUGAUUUUUAUUUUUGUUCUAUAAAAACAUCGAUUGACAAUAACAAAGACAAAUAAUUGAAAAUUUUAAUAAGAAUUAAUCUAACUACUCUCUUUAAAAGGAAAAAAAAUAUCUAACUACACUCACUUUCUAAAAAUAUAAAUACAUAUAAUUACACUAAAACCCGUAUAAAUUUUUAUUUUAUCAAGUAAUUAUGUGAUUAAUAUUUAUUUAUAAAAUAAAUAUUAAUUUUAUAAUCUCAACUCAAUGGUCAUAUCAAGAGCAUAUUUAAUUAUUUUAUUUUUAAUCUACAAUUGAGACGUCACACCCUAGAGUUAAAGCGGCUUUUAUCAUUUUGUUUUUUUUUAUUUAAUUUCUAUUUUUAAAAUAAUUUUAGACCCUGUGAGCAUCCAACGAAUGAUUUGCCAGUUUGGAGGAGUCCAUGCAUAUGGGGGCCCACUAGUCGUUUGACGAUUGAUUACGUCACGUGAUUCCUGCCACAUACGAUUUUUAUUGAUUAUCCACUCUUUACCCCUUUUUUUUAUUUAAUAAAUAAUCCUCUUUACCCAACUAGUCAGGCUUUUCUCGAGUGGCCAACGGUUCAAGCUUAGGGAUGGUAAUUGUACUCGUAAAUCUGUAAAUUUGUCUAAAUUCAUCUGUCAAAAUUCGUCCGUUGUGGGUAAUUUUAUUAGUUGCGGGCGGGUUUAAUAUUAUAAAUUAAAACCCGCACAUGAAUGGGGGUGGGUUUGAUAUUAAUCUUAUAUCCGGUGGAUACCCGCAUGGAUAUCCAUUAAACCCGCAAUAUUUUUUUCAAAUAUUUUUAAUUUAAUUUAAAUCUAAAAAUGUAUAAAGAAAAUAAUGUCAUUAAUUAAAUUACCAAAUAACCAAAGGCUCAAAGUUGUGUAUGUGUGUAUGUGUGUAUGUGGCCUAUAUCAUAUUCUAAAAUCAUAAUCUAAAGAAAACUAAAGGCAUUUUCCUUCGAAUUAAUAUUUGAAAAUAUUAAUCUUAAUUAUUAUUAUAGGCAUUGUGUUGGAUGGGUGCUUAUGGUGGUGAAUAAAAUGAAUAUCUUCUCUUGGAGCUUGUUUUAAAUGAUAAUAUGAAAUGUAAUUAUUAUUUUUAGAUAUUAGUUUGUGUUUUUUAAAUGGAUUUGUGUAAUUUAUACUUAAAUUUGAGAAUUUAUGUUGAAUUGAUGUGGAAAUUUUAAUUUUUCAUUUACAUUAUUUAAAUAUAAAAUUGAGUAUGUUAUAUGGAAUUUGAGGUUAUUAUUAUAAAUUUAUAUAUUAAACAUUUGUGAUUUUAAAUACGGAAACCCGCAAAAAAUCCGCCGGAUACCAUUGCGGGUUUGGUAAUUGUUAAAACCCGCUGCGGGUGGGUUUUUGUAAAAAAAUUAAAACCCGCUGCGGGUUACCGGUGGGUUUGGUAGUUUAAAUUUUGUGCGGGUUUGGGUUUGGUAAUGGCAAACCCGCUACGGGCAGUGCCCAUUGCCAUCCCUAUUCAAGCCCCGGGAUGUAUAUAGAGAUUUUCUUUUAAUUAUGCUAUAUAAUUAAGUGAAUGCUGUGUUUUAUCUUUUGAAAAAUGAGUAGAAUAAAUAUUCUUUGAAUAGUGAUAAAUUAAUUUCAAUAAUUGACUGAUUGUAAAUAUUAGUUGUAAUUUCAUACAAUAUGAGUUGUAAUUUGAGUGUUAAUAUCAUGUAAUUAAAAAUAAAAAAUAAUCUUCUUUACUCAUUUCACUUCCAAUUUCAUGUUGAUGCCCUUACAUUAUUGAUUUAUCUAUAUUUUUUUUAUUUUACACAUUUUUUUUGGACUCUUCCUUUUGCUUUUUCUUUUUCCUCAGCUAUAAUGUUCCCAAAUUUAAUAGAGAAACAAAGCUAUAAAUGAUCAAUUUAUUAGUUUGAUAAUUUACAAACUCGCAAUAGAUGAUACUCAUUUUCAUCCCUAGAUGAAUGCAACAUGGUCGCGGACAGAAUACAUCGAGGCUCGGAAAGAACGUUGGCCUAAGGCAUUUUUAGAAAGAUUAGGGAUUUAACUGAAAUUCAAUUCCUUUAAAAUGUGAAGUUUACGUUUUGCACCCUUUGAAUUUACAGUUUCUUAUUUAUGGCAUCUCAAUUUGGCUUCUCUCGAAUAUGGUCCACGUUAAACCAAAAUUAUAAUUGCACCACUAAAUGUGAUAGAGAUGAAAAAAUAUUUGAAGUGGAAAGUUUGUGAGUUUCUAUAUUUUUUUAAGGAUAUAUUUUAAGUAUUAUAUAGAUAAAAAUUAACUAUCUACCUAAGUAAUCAAGCGAGCAAUUUACACUUCAGACCUCUUUUACAUCAACGAUUUAUGUUUGGCAGACUCAAUUUGUCAAUAACUAGAUAUAUGUUAUUACAGACUCAAUUUGGGGCAUAUUCUAGGGUAAGGAAACUGAAAAUACCUAUUUUCGAAGUUGAGGAUGCCUAUGAAUGAGUGUAUAGGGUAGAGCGCUAUUUCUCCAUCAAUGGACUCUAAGAAAGGGAAAAAUUGAUGGCGGCGGCGUUAUGUUUGGAGGGAAAGGCCCUUGUGCGGUUUCAAUGGCGAGAACAACGACAUCGUUAAGGUCAUGAGGUGAGUCUAAGGAUUGGCUAUUGGAUAGGUUUCGGGCCACUCAAGAAGGAGAUUUGUAUGAAUAGUUUUUUACUCUGACCUAGGAUAGAACGGUUAUAGUUUGAGUUGCUAUCAGGGCGUCGAAGGGGAAUUCCAUAGGCGGUAUUGGAAGGGAAUUUUAUGAAGGGACUGAAGUCAGAAAUCCGAGCCUUACUAUGCUUGAUAAGGCCGAGAGGGUUAGGGGAGUCAAUGGAGUUGGCACAAAUGGCUAAGGAUAAGAACACAAUAGAACAGGUUAAUAGGAGCAAUUCAAUCGAUUUUUCAUACCAAAACAGCAUGCCAUUGGUAGGAUAGAAAACCCAGACUUUAGGGUUUAAACGAGAGUUCCAAAGUACACCACUGGGAGGCCAGAAAAUGCAAAUGGUGGAUUUAAAGAGAGAUUCCCAAAGGGAUCGGGAUAGUGGGGCACGACAUGGGGUGACUUUCAAACGUCUCAUGGAGACAGAGAUUCAGGAUAAGAGGGUGAAGGGGUUGUGUUUUUGAUGUAAUGAGAAAUUUUCACGAGGGCAUCGAUGUAAGGAUAAAUCACUACAAGUCCUAACUGUGUGUGAUGAGGAAGAAGGCCGGGAAGAAGCCGAGGAAGAAGACGCAGUAGUUUCCAAGAUUUCACCUUGAGGACGAGGUGUCUUUUUGAGAGGGGAGUAAUGUUAGACCAAAGAAAACUAAGGUGCAAUUACAAGGAGGCAGGGGCACUUUAGUAAUCUUAAGGGCAGAGACAGUUUAAUAAUUUUAUUAUUAAUUAGGGUUCAGGUAUAAAUAAGAGAUUAUGGAGUCACUUAAGAUUUAUGUUGGGUUUUGUCUAGUGUUAAGAAUAAUUAAGAGUUUGGGAGAGAUUGACUUACCUCUUGUAGGUCAAGAUUGUUAUUUAUUUUUAUCAAUCAAUAAAAAAUCAACCCUAAUUUAACUCUAAGUCAUAUCAUAACGGAAUUUGUGUUAUUGACCUCUUCUUUUUUCCCUUUUCCUUCUUCUUGUAACAACUUCUUUACGAAACAUGUCUCUGCGUCUGGCUCUUGUCUUACUAUGAACCUGCAGUGGAGUACUUGGCAACUAAUAGAACCCUACCACGACUAAUAGAUGUUGUUAAGAGUUCCACAAAGGAGAAUGUGAGAUCUGGUUUCUUGGUAGUAUUUAAUGUUAGCAAAGGCUCACUGCUGCACAAGAUGAGUGUCAUCCACUUGAAUACUAUUAACUUGUUAUACAUACGUAUAUUUAAAUAUAUUUAUAUUGGCUUGUGGUAGAAAUACGCUAUUUUCUUAUCCAAAAGAAUACGUUCUUUUGUUCAUAUGGUUAUUAAGAUAGGCAUAUCCUGCUAGGUUGUCAGGGUGGUGGUCUUGAUCCUUAGAAACUUGCUUCCCAAAGGUAAUUUUGCUGCUCAGAUGAUAGACCUUGGACUACCUCAAGUUGUUCAAAGUUUAAAAGCACAAGCAUGGAGUGAUGAGGUAAGAGAAGUUGCUCGCUGUUUAGUUUUUCUUUUUCGGCUGAUUGCAUAAUUAUUUAGUUAAUAGAUCGAGUAAAAUUAAGGGAGUUGAUGGCGCUGUUUGCUACUGAUUGGUGCAUUUGGUGAUCAUUUUAUAUGGAUUUAAAAUUUACUUCAGCUUCUGUGAAGUAUGGUGUGGUAGAAUAGUCAGUUGCUUGUGUGAUGACAAAAACUACUGUUAUUUUGUUCAUUAUAUGAAUAUUAGUGUUAUUUUGGUGAUAAUUGAUGAUAGAAGGUAUGCUUAUCAGAGUCUUUUUACCCCAUACUUGGGAUCGGCUAGUCAAUUAUGAUUAUGAUACCGUUACACCCUAUUAUUCCUUUGUUCAGCAUGGAAUAAUGUUGUUUCCAUCUACACUUUGAUUGAAGCUCUGGCUGGCAGAAAGUGCUGACUACUAUUGUACGGACCUACACUAUCUUUGACAACUUGAGACAUUUAUCCUACGACAAUGUUACCUAUAAUGGCUGACAAAUGCCUGCUUUAUUUAAUUCUCAAGCACCUGUCAUCUGAGCAAUGUUAAAUCAAUUAAUUGUGCCUUUUUUAUUACCACAUAUUUUCUUUGGCCUUGAACCAUCCAAUUUUGCCAAGGCUCGACUCUUUUUCCUCAUGAUGAACUGAAGCUGUAUAUUGCUUUUGUGGAAUCUUGGCAUCCAACACUAAAUUAAGAUUUCAGCCUUCAAACUUAUAAUGCAAGAUAUUAGAUUGUGUUUGGGUGGCUCCUGAAUAGUGCCAAAAAGAAUGAGUCUUGGCCACCAUUGCUGAAUUUUGUUUAACCUUUAACACAAUGAUGACUUCAUCUUGCUACAUUUACAUAUAAUAGAUUUCAUUAUCUUCUUAGGAUUUACUGGAGGGUCUGAAUCAACUGGAAGAAGGUUUGAAGGAUAAUACUAAGAGAUUGAGUUCUUUGGACAAGUACAUGCAAGAAGUCCUCCUUGGCCAUCUCGACUGGUCCCCCAUGCACAAAGAUCCCCUAUUCUGGCGUGAUAAUAUCACAAACUUCGAAGAAAAUGAUUUCCAGGUAUUUCUUUUCCCCAUGGACGGUGUUUCUAGUUUUUAUUUUCAUUUUUUCUGCCUUAACUUCACUGAAUGACUCCUGCUAAUAUCUGUAUCGUCUCGUUCAGCAUCAUUUUGUAACUAAUGGAUAAUCUUCUCUCACAGAUUCUAAGGGUCCUCUUAACAAUUUUGGAUACAUCCAGUGAUCCACGAGCUCUUGCUGUCGCUUGCUUUGAUCUCUCACAGUUUAUCCAGUACCAUCCAGCUGGGCGGGUCAUUGUGACGGACCUCAAAGCCAAGGAACGGGUGAUGAAAUUGAUGAACCAUGAGAACACCGAGGUUACCAAGAGCGCCUUACUCUGCAUCCAAAGGCUUUUCCUAGGCGCAAAGUACGCGAGCUUUUUGCAGGCCUGAAUUCUCUUUCUAUGGGGUCCCGUAUUGUUUACAAAGGAAAUGCUUGUAAUGAUUUGAUUCCAGUUUGGCUGUGGUUAGGUUGUUUAUUUAUUUAUCAAUCAUUGGAGGAAUUUAUGAAUCAGGGGAACUCGUCUGUUGGAUUCUUUUAAGUACUGUGAAGAAUUAGUUGAUUUUU
rnacentral:lncRNA from 1 species